rnacentral:rRNA from 1 species
GACGAACGCUGGCGGCGUGCUUAACACAUGCAAGUCGAACGGAAAGGCCUGCAGCUUGCUGCGGGUACUCGAGCGGCGAACGGGUGAGUAACACGUGGGUGAUCUGCCUUGCACUCCGGGAUAAGCUCGGGAAACUGGGGCUAAUACCGGAUAGGACAGUGGAUCAGAGUCAGCUGUGGAAAGAUUUUUCGGUGCAAGAUGAGCUCGCGGCCUAUCAGCUUGUUGGUGGGGUAAUGGCGUCCCAGGGCUUCGACGGGUAGCCGGCCUGGGAGGGUGUACGGGCACAUUGGGCCUAAGGUACGGCCCAGUAUCCUACGUGCGGCAGCAGUGGGGAAUAUUGCGCAAUGGCCGGACGCCUGAUGCAGCGACCCCGCGUGCGGGAUGAAGGCCUUUGGGUUGUAAACUCCCUUCGACGGGGCCGAAGCUUUUGUGACGGUACCUGUAUAAGAAGCACCGGCCAACUACGUG